UACGUAGGGUGCAAGCGUUGCCCGGAUUUAUUGGGCGUAAAGGGCGCGUAGGCGGCCACGCACGUCCGUUGUGAAAUCGCCCGGCUCAACUGGGCGGGGUCAGCGGAUACGGUGUGGCUCGAGCAAGCUAGGGGGCAAUGGAAUUCCCGGUGUAGUGGUGGAAUGCGUAGAUAUCGGGAGGAACACCAGUGGCGAAGGCGGUUGCCUGGAGCUUUGCUGACGCUGAGGCGCGAAAGCGUGGGGAGCGAACAGG
rnacentral:rRNA from 1 species